rnacentral:rRNA from 1 species
AGUGAACGCUGGCGGUAGGCCUAACACAUGCAAGUCGAACGGCAGCACAGUAAGAGCUUGCUCUUACGGGUGGCGAGUGGCGGACGGGUGAGGAAUACAUCGGAGUCUACUUUUUCGUGGGGGAUAACGUAGGGAAACUUACGCUAAUACCGCAUACGACCUACGGGUGAAAGCAGGGGAUCUUCGGACCUUGCGCGAUUGAAUGAGCCGAUGUCGGAUUAGCUAGUUGGCGGGGUAAAGGCCCACCAAGGCGACGAUCCGUAGCUGGUCUGAGAGGAUGAUCAGCCACACUGGAACUGAGACACGGUCCAGACUCCUACGGGAGGCAGCAGUGGGGAAUAUUGGACAAUGGGCGCAAGCCUGAUCCAGCCAUACCGCGUGGGUGAAGAAGGCCUUCGGGUUGUAAAGCCCUGUUGUUGGGAAAGAAAAGAAGCAGGUUAAUCCCCCGCUGUUCUGACGGUACCCAAAGAAUAAGCACCGGCUAACUUCGUG